AGGAAUAUUGGUCAAUGGGCGAGAGCCUGAACCAGCCAAGUAGCGUGAAGGAUGACUGCCCUAUGGGUUGUAAACUUCUUUUAUAAAGGAAUAAAGUCGGGUAUGGAUACCCGUUUGCAUGUACUUUAUGAAUAAGGAUCGGCUAACUCCGUGCCAGCAGCCGCGGUAAUACGGAGGAUCCGAGCGUUAUCCGGAUUUAUUGGGUUUAAAGGGAGCGUAGAUGGAUGUUUAAGUCAGUUGUGAAAGUUUGCGGCUCAACCGUAAAAUUGCAGUUGAUACUGGAUAUCUUGAGUGCAGUUGAGGCAGGCGGAAUUCGUGGUGUAGCGGUGAAAUGCUUAGAUAUCACGAAGAACUCCGAUUGCGAAGGCAGCCUGCUAAGCUGCAACUGACAUUGAGGCUCGAAAGUGUGGGUAUCAAACAGGAUUAGAUACCCUGGUAGUCCACACGGUAAACGAUGAAUACUCGCUGUUUGCGAUAUACGGCAAGCGGCCAAGCGAAAGCGUUAAGUAUUCCACCUGGGGAGUACGCCGGCAACGGUGAAACUCAAAGGAAUUGACGGGGGCCCGCACAAGCGGAGGAACAUGUGGUUUAAUUCGAUGAUACGCGAGGAACCUUACCCGGGCUUAAAUUGCAGAUGAAUUACGGUGAAAGCCGUAAGCCGCAAGGCAUCUGUGAAGGUGCUGCAUGGUUGUCGUCAGCUCGUGCCGUGAGGUGUCGGCUUAAGUGCCAUAACGAGCGCAACCCUUGUUGUCAGUUACUAACAGGUUUCGCUGAGGACUCUGACAAGACUGCCAUCGUAAGAUGUGAGGAAGGUGGGGAUGACGUCAAAUCAGCACGGCCCUUACGUCCGGGGCUACACACGUGUUACAAUGGGGGGUACAGAGGGCCGCUACCACGCGAGUGGAUGCCAAUCCCAAAAACCUCUCUCAGUUCGGACUGGAGUCUGCAACCCGACUCCACGAAGCUGGAUUCGCUAGUAAUCGCGCAUCAGCCACGGCGCGGUGAAUACGUUCCCG
rnacentral:rRNA from 1 species